CAAAUAAGCCGGGAAACUGGGAAUGGCUCAUUAAAUCAGUUAUCGUUUAUUUGAUAGUACCUUACUACUUGGAUAACCGUGGUAAUUCUAGAGCUAAUACAUGCUAAAAAUCCCGACUCACGAAGGGAUGUAUUUAUUAGAUUAAAAACCAAUGCCCUUCGGGGCUUCUUGGUGAUUCAUAAUAACUUCUCGAAUCGCAUGGCCUUGCGCCGGCGAUGGUUCAUUCAAAUUUCUGCCCUAUCAACUUUCGAUGGCAGGGUCUUGGCCUGCCAUGGUUACAACGGGUAACGGAGGGUUAGGGCUCGACCCCGGAGAAGGAGCCUGAGAAACGGCUACUACAUCCAAGGAAGGCAGCAGGCGCGCAAAUUACCCAAUCCCGAUUCGGGGAGGUAGUGACAAUAAAUACUGAUACAGGGCUCUUUUGGGUCUUGUAAUUGGAAUGAGUACAAUUUAAAUCCCUUAACGAGGAACAAUUGGAGGGCAAGUCUGGUGCCAGCAGCCGCGGUAAUUCCAGCUCCAAUAGCGUAUAUUAAAGUUGUUGCAGUUAAAAAGCUCGUAGUUGAACCUUGGGCCUGGCUGGCCGGUCCGCCUCACCGCGUGCACUGGUUCGGCCGGGCCUUUCCCUCUGGGGAAUCUCAUGCCCUUCACUGGGUGUGUUGAGGAACCAGGACUUUUACUGUGAAAAAAUUAGAGUGUUCAAAGCAGGCCUAUGCUCGAAUACAUUAGCAUGGAAUAAUAGAAUAGGACGUGCGGUUCUAUUUUGUUGGUUUCUAGGACCGCCGUAAUGAUUAAUAGGGACAGUCGGGGGCAUCAGUAUUCAAUUGUCAGAGGUGAAAUUCUUGGAUUUAUUGAAGACUAACUACUGCGAAAGCAUUUGCCAAGGAUGUUUUCAUUAAUCAGGAACGAAAGUUAGGGGAUCGAAGACGAUCAGAUACCGUCGUAGUCUUAACCAUAAACUAUGCCGACUAGGGAUCGGACGAUGUUAUUUUUUGACUCGUUCGGCACCUUACGAGAAAUCAAAGUCUUUGGGUUCU
rnacentral:rRNA from 1 species